rnacentral:tRNA from 1 species
GCCUAGCUGGCUUAUUCGGUGGAGCAUACGACUCUUGAUCUCUGGGUUGUGAGUUCAAGCCCCAUGUUAGGUG